rnacentral:tRNA from 1 species
ACCCUUGAGGACUAGUGGUUAGGCCACGGCACUGUCACUUCCCUGGCCCGGGUUCAAUUCCCAGCCAGGGAA